GUUUUCAAAACACAUGCAAAGUGGAUGAGUUACAUGAGUAAUGAGCCCCAGAGCAGGCCCUGGCCUCCCUGCCCCUCCCUGCCCAGCCCUCCCGCUGUGCCCUCUCUUCAGUGCACCUCGGGCUGAUGAGGGCCUCUGUGUUUUUACAGAACUGCUCUGUGGUUGUCACACCCAGCAAACUUCACGACAGUUCCUGAGUGUAAUCCUCACAUUGCCGUUGGUGUGUGUGAAUCAGGGUUCAGGCCAGGCCCACACAGGCCUUCACGUGUUGGUAUCUGAGCUCCUGUUUGUCCACAGUAGUCUCCUGUGGCCUCUUUUCUCCUCCCUGAAGGGCUUCACGUUCCGGAUCUGACAGGUUGCUCCCUCUGUUCUCUGAGUUUUUGUAACUGGCCGUGCACUGAGGCUCUAUCCCGUUGUGUUUCUUUGGCAAGAAUGCUUUUCUGGUGGUCUCUGGCUCGUUCCUCCAGUGCAUGGUGUCUGGAAGCCUCUGCUCCCGCCACCCCCGCCACCAUCCCCAUGUCUGCUCUCCAGCUCUGUCUCACUGGGGUUUGGUCACCGGCCCUUUAAAUUGAGACCAGAGUAUGUAUCUGGGAGUUCAGGUCCGGGGUGACAUUUGAGGUGGGGCCUUCCCAGCCCUGUGCAGAGUUUCUAUCACCUCAGGUAUACUCAGAAAUGGGGGUCAUUUCCAGGCAUCACCAUGACUGAGGUGCACCGCUCUCAUUGGGCGAGGGCAGCUGGAUGCUCUGUGUGUUGGUACUGGAGCCUCUGAGGGAUUGUCCAGUCCUACAGGUGUCCUGAGAGGGACACUGUCCUACCUGGUGGCCCAUGAAGAAAGGGCACCAACGGCUCACAGAUCUGGGACACUGCCUUCGCCGUCCAAGCUCUGCUAGAGGUUCGUGGCUCAUUCUCUUUUCUCAGCCUCAGCUGACCUUCCUUCCUGUGCAUGUGAGACCUCGCGUCCACCUGAGGGCAGCACUGCUGGCCACACACUUGAGACUCCUUGAAGUUUCCAGUGACCUGGGCUCUGGCCUCUGGUUUGAGAUAGUGGUGCUAUGGAGGGGGCGGCCUUGCCCAGCAGCCCUGGGUGUUGGGCUGGCUCAGAGGCUUUGGGAGGGCAGGGGCUGGAGGCCAUGUGUGGGGGAGCCUGGUGAAGGCUGUUUCUCAGAGCGUGGACAGGACUGGGACUCCAGGCUCUUAGAACUGGAACUGCUAAUGGGCAUUCUCCAGCCAAUACUGCAGAGAAACAACAGUGGAUUUUUAUGCUGGUGGGAUUCUGAAGGUGUUUCUGGAGUGCCCCAAGGGCUGGGCCAUUCAAAGGACCUGCCCACGCCGGGGUGCUGGAGAUCCUCUGGGCAUAGACGCUUGCUGGGCGGUGGGGUGCUGGUAUCCAUAGAUGGUCUCUUCUGCUCCCUUCCAUCUCGUCAUAUUUCACGGACCUUUGAUUUUUUUGUCUUUAAGGUAAGUGCAGUAAGAAACCCUUGACACUCUCUGGAGACAUCUGCCAGUUUCAUUCUGGUUCCCAGUUGGGGCAGGAUGUGGCCAGGACCAUGGGGGAACCACUCAGCCAUGGUGACCGUGCAAGGGCGGCUCAGCCUCUCUGUCCUGCUGUCUCUUCCAGGCGGGUGGACACCACAGGCCCGAGUUUUCGUCCUGCCUGCAGAAGGCACAUGAGUUCCUGCGGCUCUCACAGGUGAGCCCUGUGCCUGGGGCCCUGAGGGGGCUGAAGAGGGGGUUCAGGGCUGGGAGCUCCUACAGGCAGAAGUGCCCACCUCACCUCCACCCUGCCCUGUUCCCUGCACUGGUUUCUCAGGUUGCCCCUCCCCACCCCUGUUCCAUCCACCUGUCCUUGGGCUGGCCUCACCUGGAGCAGCUCUGUGAGGCCUGCAGGGUGCUGGGGGCGCUGGCAGUUUCUGCGUCCUGCUCCUGUUGGAGCCAUGGUCUGCAGGAGCCAGGCACAGGUAGGGGCCAUUUACCCUGAGCUGCGCAGCCUACACACCACCUCUGGGUCUCUGAAGCACUUUCUGCCACAGAGGUGUUGCCAGCCUGCGGACGUUCCCUCCUGAGACUGUUUGCGGCAAAAACCCUGUCCAUCCCGCUAGAUCAGCUGCCCACAGACGGUGCCCCAGCCCCAGUUUGACCUCAGUGUCUCACACAUGCCUACACCCCAAUCUGCAGCCACAGUCAUCUCAAACAUACGCCCUAACCUCCCAUGUCUCCCACGCUGUCCCUGCCACGGCCUCAGCCAAUGUCCUGCCUGGAACAGCUGCCCCUCCCCCCGCAGCCCGUUUCACCAUGUCCCUUCAGAUGUCAUCAGGCCAUGGCUUCUGCGGGGUCUCUGGGUGUUCCUGGCCUCCGUGUGGCCAAGGCUGGCACCCAUCUGGGGCUCAGGCAGGGGAGGGGCAUUGUCCUGCUGUGGCUGACCCUACAGCAGACUGUUCCUGCCUCCUGCCUCCUACCUCCUACCCAGGACUUGCUCUGGUUG
rnacentral:lncRNA from 13 species